rnacentral:misc_RNA from 1 species
GAAGGUUUGGAAGAUGUAGAGGAAGAGGAAGAUGGAUUGGCAUGCAUGGUGUGCAGAGAAGGCUAUAGUUUGAGGCCUACUGACUUGCUGGGUGUCUAUUCAUACAGCAAAAGGGUUAACCUUGGUGUUGGGACUUCAGGAUGUACUCGUGGGGAGUGUGUUUAUACAACCGUGAGCUAUUUCAAUAUUAUUCAUUAUCAAUGCCAUCAAGAGGCCAAAAGAACAGAUGCUGGUUUGAAAAUCCCAAAGAAAGAAUGGGAAGGAGCAACACUCAGGAACAACGAAUCCCUUUGCAAUUCCUUGUUCCCUGUGAGAGGUCCGUCAGUCCCGUUAGCACAGUAUAUCCGAUAUGUUGACCAGCAUUGGGACAACCUAAAUGCUCUUGGUCGUGCUGAUGGAAACAGACUUCGGCUCUUGACGUAUGAUAUUGUUCUGAUGUUGGCUCGAUUUGC